rnacentral:lncRNA from 1 species
UUAGGGUUGAUCAUAUUUUCAAGCUCUUAAAGAUAAAUCAUCAGCUUAUAUAUAAAGGUAUGUCAUGUGCCAUCAAAAAUAAAAAGAAUACAACAUAUUUUUUAAGUUAAAUUUCUAUUACAAAACCUUAAGGUGAUAGGUGUGUGAGUUUUCUCACUUAUAAAUGUUCAAGUAUCCACUUUUCUUAUCAAUGUUAGACUUCCUACACUUUCUUUCUCAAAAUUCUUAAUCCACGUCUGUUUUUUU